UCUGGUAAUGAUGGCAGAGAGGUCACACCCGUUCCCAUACCGAACACGGAAGUUAAGCUCUCUAGCGCCGAUGGUAGUUGG
rnacentral:rRNA from 2 species